UUAUACCCUCGCCUUCUGCGUUUACUCAAGACGAUCACGAAACAUCCAUUACUUUAUGGUGGCUUACUAGUAGCGAAAUUAAUUGCUGUCGGCAUCUAGGCCACUAUUGUCCAAUAUAUAAUGAGGAGGAAAAAAAAGCUUCUAAAAAACUUCCACUAAAAAUAAAUUAUUGUGUACUACAAGG